GUUAAGCGACUAAGCGUACACGGUGGAUGCCCUGGCAGUCAGAGGCGAUGAAGGACGUGCUAAUCUGCGAUAAGCGUCGGUAAGGUGAUAUGAACCGUUAUAACCGGCGAUUUCCGAAUGGGGAAACCCAGUGUGAUUCGUCACACUAUCAUUAACUGAAUCCAUAGGUUAAUGAGGCGAACCGGGGGAACUGAAACAUCUAAGUACCCCGAGGAAAAGAAAUCAACCGAGAUUCCCCCAGUAGCGGCGAGCGAACGGGGAGGAGCCCAGAGCCUGAAUCAGUGUGUGUGUUAGUGGAAGCGUCUGGAAAGGCGCGCGAUACAGGGUGACAGCCCCGUACACAAAAAUGCACAUGCUGUGAGCUCGAUGAGUAGGGCGGGACACGUGGUAUCCUGUCUGAAUAUGGGGGGACCAUCCUCCAAGGCUAAAUACUCCUGACUGACCGAUAGUGAACCAGUACCGUGAGGGAAAGGCGAAAAGAACCCCGGCGAGGGGAGUGAAAAAGAACCUGAAACCGUGUACGUACAAGCAGUGGGAGCCUCUUUAUGGGGUGACUGCGUACCUUUUGUAUAAUGGGUCAGCGACUUAUAUUCUGUAGCAAGGUUAACCGAAUAGGGGAGCCGAAGGGAAACCGAGUCUUAACUGGGCGUUAAGUUGCAGGGUAUAGACCCGAAACCCGGUGAUCUAGCCAUGGGCAGGUUGAAGGUUGGGUAACACUAACUGGAGGACCGAACCGACUAAUGUUGAAAAAUUAGCGGAUGACUUGUGGCUGGGGGUGAAAGGCCAAUCAAACCGGGAGAUAGCUGGUUCUCCCCGAAAGCUAUUUAGGUAGCGCCUCGUGAAUUCAUCUCCGGGGGUAGAGCACUGUUUCGGCAAGGGGGUCAUCCCGACUUACCAACCCGAUGCAAACUGCGAAUACCGGAGAAUGUUAUCACGGGAGACACACGGCGGGUGCUAACGUCCGUCGUGAAGAGGGAAACAACCCAGACCGCCAGCUAAGGUCCCAAAGUCAUGGUUAAGUGGGAAACGAUGUGGGAAGGCCCAGACAGCCAGGAUGUUGGCUUAGAAGCAGCCAUCAUUUAAAGAAAGCGUAAUAGCUCACUGGUCGAGUCGGCCUGCGCGGAAGAUGUAACGGGGCUAAACCAUGCACCGAAGCUGCGGCAGCGACGCUUAUGCGUUGUUGGGUA
rnacentral:rRNA from 1 species